UAGAGUUUGAUCCUGGCUCAGAUUGAACGCUGGCGGCAGGCCUAACACAUGCAAGUCGAGCGGUAGCACAGAGAGCUUGCUCUCGGGUGACGAGCGGCGGACGGGUGAGUAAUGUCUGGGAAACUGCCUGAUGGAGGGGGAUAACUACUGGAAACGGUAGCUAAUACCGCAUAACGUCGCAAGACCAAAGAGGGGGACCUUCGGGCCUCUUGCCAUCAGAUGUGCCCAGAUGGGAUUAGCUAGUAGGUGGGGUAACGGCUCACCUAGGCGACGAUCCCUAGCUGGUCUGAGAGGAUGACCAGCCACACUGGAACUGAGACACGGUCCAGACUCCUACGGGAGGCAGCAGUGGGGAAUAUUGCACAAUGGGCGCAAGCCUGAUGCAGCCAUGCCGCGUGUAUGAAGAAGGCCUUCGGGUUGUAAAGUACUUUCAGCGGGGAGGAAGGUGUUGUGGUUAAUAACCACAGCAAUUGACGUUACCCGCAGAAGAAGCACCGGCUAACUCCGUGCCAGCAGCCGCGGUAAUACGGAGGGUGCAAGCGUUAAUCGGAAUUACUGGGCGUAAAGCGCACGCAGGCGGUCUGUCAAGUCGGAUGUGAAAUCCCCGGGCUCAACCUGGGAACUGCAUUCGAAACUGGCAGGCUAGAGUCUUGUAGAGGGGGGUAGAAUUCCAGGUGUAGCGGUGAAAUGCGUAGAGAUCUGGAGGAAUACCGGUGGCGAAGGCGGCCCCCUGGACAAAGACUGACGCUCAGUGCGAAAGCGUGGGGAGCAAACAGGAUUAGAUACCCUGGUAGUCCACGCCGUAAACGAUGUCGACUUGGAGGUUGUGCCCUUGAGGCGUGGCUUCCGGAGCUAACGCGUUAAGUCGACCGCCUGGGGAGUACGGCCGCAAGGUUAAAACUCAAAUGAAUUGACGGGGGCCCGCACAAGCGGUGGAGCAUGUGGUUUAAUUCGAUGCAACGCGAAGAACCUUACCUACUCUUGACAUCCAGAGAACUUUCCAGAGAUGGAUUGGUGCCUUCGGGAACUCUGAGACAGGUGCUGCAUGGCUGUCGUCAGCUCGUGUUGUGAAAUGUUGGGUUAAGUCCCGCAACGAGCGCAACCCUUAUCCUUUGUUGCCAGCGGUUCGGCCGGGAACUCAAAGGAGACUGCCAGUGAUAAACUGGAGGAAGGUGGGGAUGACGUCAAGUCAUCAUGGCCCUUACGAGUAGGGCUACACACGUGCUACAAUGGCGCAUACAAAGAGAAGCGACCUCGCGAGAGCAAGCGGACCUCAUAAAGUGCGUCGUAGUCCGGAUUGGAGUCUGCAACUCGACUCCAUGAAGUCGGAAUCGCUAGUAAUCGUAGAUCAGAAUGCUACGGUGAAUACGUUCCCGGGCCUUGUACACACCGCCCGUCACACCAUGGGAGUGGGUUGCAAAAGAAGUAGGUAGCUUAACCUUCGGGAGGGCGCUUACCACUUUGUGAUUCAUGACUGGGGUGAAGUCGUAACAAGGUAACCGUA
rnacentral:rRNA from 1 species